GAUGAACGCUGGCGGCGUGCUUAACACAUGCAAGUCGAACGAAGCGCAUGAAACAGAUUCUUCGGAUGAAGUUUCCUGUGACUGAGUGGCGGACGGGUGAGUAACGCGUGGGUAACCUGCCUCAUACAGGGGGAUAACAGUUAGAAAUGGCUGCUAAUACCGCAUAAGCGCACGGCAUCGCAUGAUGCAGUGUGAAAAACUCCGGUGGUAUGAGAUGGACCCGCGUCUGAUUAGCCAGUUGGCAGGGUAACGGCCUACCAAAGCGACGAUCAGUAGCCGACCUGGGAGGGUGACCGGCCACAUUGGGACUGAGACACGGCCCAAACUCCUACGGGAGGCAGCAGUGGGGAAUAUUGCACAAUGGGGGAAACCCUGAUGCAGCGACGCCGCGUGAGCGAAGAAGUAUUUCGGUAUGUAAAGCUCUAUCAGCAGGGAAGAAAGACCCGCAAGGGGGAUGACGGUACCUGAGUAAGAAGCCCCGGCUAACUACGUGCCAGCCGCCGCCGUAA
rnacentral:rRNA from 1 species